AUCCAGCUGAUGAGUCCUAAAUAGAACGAAACACGCGUCCUGGAU
rnacentral:hammerhead_ribozyme from 1 species